rnacentral:rRNA from 1 species
GACGAACGCUGGCGGCGUGCUUAACACAUGCAAGUCGAACGGAAAGGCCCUGCUAUUGUGGGGUGCUCGAGUGGCGAACGGGUGAGUAAGACGUGAGUAACCUGCCCUUGACUUUGGGAUAACUUCAGGAAACUGGGGCUAAUACCGGAUAGGAGCUCCUGCUGCAUGGUGGGGGUGGGAAAGUUUCGGCGGUUGGGGAUGGACUCGCGGCUUAUCAGCUUGUUGGUGGGGUAGUGGCUUACCAAGGCUUUGACGGGUAGCCGGCCUGAGAGGGUGACCGGCCACAUUGGGACUGAGAUACGGCCCAGACUCCUACGGGAGGCAGCAGUGGGGAAUAUUGCACAAUGGGCGGAAGCCUGAUGCAGCAACGCCGCGUGCGGGAUGACGGCCUUCGGGUUGUAAACCGCUUUCGCCUGUGACGAAGCGUGAGUGACGGUAAUGGGUAAAGAAGCACCGGCUAACUACGUG